UUUUGCUGUUAUACGCAGUGGUGACAAGAUGAAGUUCAUUUUUCUGUGUUUAAUAAUACUAAGUUUUUAUUCCUCUGAAAUUUACGGAAAAACCUAUUACAUCUAAAACAGAUUUUCGUCAAUUUGGUAUGGAUCAUUUGAAAACUGUGCCCAGCAAGGCUUACAAUUGGCUACGGUGAAUACCAGAAAUGAACAAACUCAUCUGGAAAGAACUAUCAAAAAAGCAGGUAUGGAGAAAGCAUCGUUUUGGAUAGGUGGAUCAGACUUAACAAAAGAAGGCAAAUUUGUAUGGAUGGCAACUGGUGAGCCAUUUGCGUAUACAAAUUGGUUGCGACCAGACCUGGUUGGUGGCCAAUCUGACAACUAUGACAACAUUGAGCAUUGCGUACAUAUUUGGCCAGAUAUAACAAACACAACAGUAUGGAACGACGCUCCUUGCCUUCAUGAAAUUUUUUUUAUAUGCGAGGAACAACCGAAGAACUGUUAUAACGAUGAGGAAUUCACAGUUAUUUGCGAAGAGCAACCGAAAUAAAAGUUUUGCAAUUAGCAUAACUUCAAGCAACACAUAUCCUGUUUUAUUAAAUCAAAUAAAUUUUCUGCACUUAUCAGCUUUGGAUGGCAAAUACAGUACAUAACCACACUUUUAACCGGUUUAGCGAGAAGAUAGGCAAACAAUUUUACUUGUAAUUUUAAAAACUUGCCAAUCAAACAUCUAGUUUAAACUACUUCAAUGUUGAAAUCUCUAGCUGAUUUCCUUUAAUAAACUUUCUGAUUACGAAUAUAUAAAA